UACGGAGGAUCCGAGCGUUAUCCGGAUUUAUUGGGUUUAAAGGGUGCGUAGGCGGGCUUUUAAGUCAGCGGUAAAAAUUCGGGGCUCAACCCCGUCCGGCCGUUGAAACUGGGGGUCUUGAGUGGGCGAGAAGAAGGCGGAAUGCGUGGUGUAGCGGUGAAAUGCAUAGAUAUCACGCAGAACCCCGAUUGCGAAGGCAGCCUUCCGGCGCCCUACUGACGCUGAGGCACGAAAGUGCGGGGAUCGAGCAGG
rnacentral:rRNA from 1 species